UUUGGUCGCUCAGCACUGCGUGUCCGUCUCAGCGUGAGCCUCGCACUCAGCAGGGAGGCCCCGAGAACGGCGCGGGACACAGGCCCGCCGAAGCGGGCUGGCAGUCUCCUCUCCUCUCACGAAGCGGUCACAGACCCAGAUUGCUGAAUCCCACCCCCAAGGCGCAAUACUAUUGGAGGAAGAAGGGAAGCUCCUCAAGUCUCAUUGGAGAACACAAAGUAGCCCGCCCCGUGCUGCCUAAGCCACAGGCCUAAGAAAUCGGCUCCCGCCUCCGCCGGUCAUUGCAUUGGAAGGCUACCUUUGGCUCUCACACCGCCCCAGGAAGGUAAGUAACCGAUAUGGGGUAAAAUGUCUGUAAGUGAAACAGGCUCCUCCUACCACACUUGCCGGCCAGGCCCCGCCCCAAGAGUCGGAUUGGAUAUCUUGACGCCGGUAGGAACCUCCAUUGGACACCUCGCCUGUCCAGGAAGCUGAUUCCGCCCUGCGCGAGAAGACUGAACCUGAGCAGUCCUUUUGUGGAAUGUUUACACUAGAGAGUGAAGCUCAGAGUUCGAAGGCCUGGGACAGGAGGUGACAACGAGGCUCAGCACCCGAGACCCGAGGCCCUGGGAUCUAAAGGGGAAAGGCGGUAAUAUUACUGCUCUGAAGGACUCCCUUACCAAAACAAUGAAAGAACCUCAUCCUUCCCACCCAGUUAUCUUCACAAUUAUACAUGCUGUCUCUUUGUAAGCACAAAUAUCUAGAGCGGCCGGCAGCUCCUUUCAGUAAGUGGAGUAUUGAACUAAGGCUUGGAGCCCAAGCCGAGAAAUAACCUGGGGGGGGGGGGGUUGCCACCCCUACGAUAGGGUGGCUGCACGUUAACUCUCUGAACAUUCCCUGAACCUGAAUAUGUAGUCCUAAGAGGGCGGAGAUAACCAAAGGGCGGCCCCUAAAAGCCACCGCCCUGACAAGCCUCCGGGAGGCGGGGCCUAAUGUUUUCCGCGAUCUCUAGGGCAGAUCUGGAGGCAUCCUCAGACUGGAGGAACUCAGAUACGGAGGAAGAGACCAAAACAGGCCAUGGCAUAAAUGAACCUUGAAUAUAUUCACACUGAGAAAGGAUAAAAACUUCAGGGUUGGGGUCAAGAGAUAAGAAAAGCUGUUCACGGCCAGCGUACGUAGUUUCAGUUACCCUGGAUGCUUGAAGCAAAAGGAUCGCUUGAACCCAGGGCUUUGGUCUAGCUUGGGCAACAAAUCGAAACCCUAUCUAUAAAAAGGGAGCUGUUUAUCUCAUCCUUGCCAAGGUGUGCUAAUGGAAGUCCCUAGGUUCCCUGUGUAGAUAAUAAUGCCUCCAACACAUAGAUUGACAAAGUGCUUGAGAUACCUAGUUGCUUUUAUUUAUUAACCAAACAGGGCUUGGGCCAGACGCUGACUGGCCUUGCUUUGGGGGACGCUCUGGCGGCGUCAGGAGAAGGGGCGGGACUAGUCUUCCCGCUCUCUCCAGCAAAAAAGAUACAUUCCCCAUCGACUUGAAUUCCUCAAAAGGCCCCAGUGAACUCAAUUCUUAGAUCCAAUACUGUCAUCCUUCCGCAAUUCCGCGGAGACGGUCCAAAACGAGGGCUGGCAACAGGUGGGUCUGAUUUCCAAGGAGGGCUUCCAGCCGCGAGUCCACAGCAGUGAGCUGUGAACUCCACGAGUGGCCGACAGGUGGGAGCAGCCUUUCGCCAGUAACCUCGGGACAAGGCACUAAAAAGUAAGGACUAAAGAAAGCGACCCCAGGUGGCCCUCGGGGCCUCAUAAACUCUCGGAAGUUAUUAAGACGCGAUAUUCAGCACUCACCAACGGCUACCUUUUAACUCCGGCCGCCUUCCUUCCCUAGACUGGGUACCGCAUGGCAGUCGCACCUGGACAUCAAAAAACCACUCUGAACCCGCGCCAGAAUUAGGCCGCCCUCAUAUCCCCUGACCACAGGGGACGGGCUGCCCUGGAUCUUGCCUAAGGUUUCAAACCAAGGUGGUCAGAGCUUUAGAUAAAGCCAACUACUGACGCGGCUGUCUUGCCCAGAGUAGAAAAGACAAAGCUAUCAUGGGCAGCCUUCUAGCUUUUAAGCUCAGGAAAGUUAAGGAGCGUGGAAACAGCCAGGCCACCACAUAAAUUUAGUACUUCUCCUUGGCCCGAGAGGGGAGAGCCCACGCCCUGAUCUCAGCGCCUCAAGAACCCCAGAGCUACGCGCCCCAAAUCCACUCCACCCAUAAUCCCCGAGCUUCAGUCACCCCGAAGUCUACCAGAUCUCCAGCCUCAGAGGAAUCUUUGUGCGCCUCCUCGUAUCUCCCCGCCCCCCUCGCCAAGGGCGCCGAGUCUAGGACUUCCGGGCGGGAGGGCAGUUCGAAGGAGCUAGGCGGGCCUCACACAUGUGCAGAGCGCGCUCCCGAGCGAAGGGAGAAGGGCGGAGAACACGGCUGGACUUCCCCCUCCAAGCUCCGUCUGCGGGAGAGGCGGGCUUAUCCAUUCCUCCAACCAGACGCAGGGGCGGGACCUUGCGCUGCACGUAAGCCAGGAGAAUCCUCCUCCGCCCUUCACGGGGGUGGGGGGGGAGAAUCCUAGCAACUUAAACUCCAGCCCAGCCUCCGGAUAGGCGGAGCUCAGGAGAAUGCCAUCCAAUCCAUAUCCGAGAUGGGAAAAAGGGACUCUCUCCCAACCAGUGGAAGACAAGAGGAGGCGGGGGUUCUUUUGGAGCCUGAGGUGGGUGGAAGAGAGGAAACAGCCCCGCCCCACGGGUCCUCUCCAGGCCGGUUGCACAAGGCACCGGCGGAGUAGAUAGUAAACAGUCUGGGCCGAGAAGUGGAGGCAGGGGUAGCCCCGCAGCACUCCAAGGAGCGGUCUUUCGCUCCUAGUCCCAUCGCUGCGCCGCCAGACGCCGGUGCUCCGCCUCUCCAACAGCGGCCGCCAUCCCGGCUGACAGGCGCGCCCCCUGCGCCCCUCCCCGCCCGCUGAUGCAUUUCCUUUUCCCGAUUCUGAACGUGGAGACUGUUUUCCCAGUUUCCGACCUUCACUGCCCCUUUCAGACCACCCCCCAACCUUGUGGGCGCGCAUACUAGCCCCCCGCCCACUCCUGGGUCUUGCUGCCCGCCGCGGCACCUCGCGGGAAGAGGGAGCCCGGCAGUCCGGCACGGUCGGGGGAGGGGAAAGGAGCAGCAGCGGCGGCCGCCGCCGCCUUGGGGUGGGCGGGGAAGGAGGCAGCUCCAUGUUUGCAAGGGGAUCAGCUGGGGCUGCGAGUCGAAUCCGCCGAGCUCCUGGAGGUUUUCCACACCCCCGGCCUGAGCUCUGUGCCGGCCCGCGGCCUGACGGACUCCGAAGCCGAAUGUUAGCUCGACUGCUUUGGCCCAGGAGUUCAGGGAGCCCAAAGCGGCACGCGGGGCUAGUGGCGAGGCGCAGGCGGCUCUUUCCGGCACCUCUCCCGCCCCCAAGCUCCCCUCCCGCAAGUCCGGCGUUGCCCCCGCCCCCAGAGUCCUUAACAACCGCGGGCCCAAUGCGCCCGCGCCUGUUCCGAGCGCGCCCACCGCCCCCUACGACAAGUUUGCGGGCAGAAACAAAACCUUCCGGCGGCUGCCGCCCUUGCUGGCGUGGUUACCCGGGAAAGCGGCGGGCCGCGGCUCGCUAGCUUAACUCCAGCUCUCGACCAACUCCGGGCGCCAAGGGAUCGGUGGGCCCGGCGGACCAAGCUCCGGCCGCCGCCCCCUGCCAAGCCCGCGCGCCACAGCCAGGCCCCUGUUCCAGUCAGUGCACAGAACCCCCCUUUUUUACAAAACAUUUCUUUAAAAAAAUAACCGGAGCGGAGGAU